GGAUGCGAUCAUACCAGCACUAAAGCACCGGAUCCCAUCAGAACUCYGAAGUUAAGCGUGCUUGGGCGAGAGUAGUACUAGGAUGGGUGACCUCCUGGGAAGUCCUCGUGUUGUCG
rnacentral:rRNA from 16 species